rnacentral:rRNA from 1 species
UUAUGGCUCAGGAUGAACGCUAGCGGCAGGCUUAACACAUGCAAGUCGAGGGGCAUCGGGAGUAGCAAUACUGCCGGCGACCGGCGCAAGGGUGCGUAACGCGUGAGCAACAUGCCCGUAUCAGGGGGAUAAUCCAUGGAAACGUGGUCUAAUACCCCAUAGUAAUUAGGUAAGGCAUCUUAUAUAAUUUAAAGCUUUGGUGGAUACGGAUUGGCUCGCGUGACAUUAGCUAGAUGGUAAGGUAACGGCUUACCAUGGCUACGAUGUCUAGGGGUUCUGAGAGGAAGGCCCCCCACACUGGAACUGAGACACGGUCCAGACUCCUACGGGAGGCAGCAGUGAGGAAUAUUGGACAAUGGAUGGAAAUCUGAUCCAGCCAUGCCGCGUGCCAGGAAGACGGCCCUAUGGGUUGUAAACUGCUUUUGUAUGGGAGCAAUAAGGGCUACGCGUAGUCCGAUGAGAGUACCAUACGAAUAAGCACCGGCUAACUCCGUGCCAGCAGCCGC